UACGUAGGGGGCUAGCGUUGUCCGGAAUCAUUGGGCGUAAAGCGCGUGUAGGCGGCUCGAUAAGUCCGCUGUGAAAGUCGGGGGCUCAACCCUCGAAUGCCGGUGGAUACUGUCGGGCUAGAGUGCGGAAGAGGCGAGUGGAAUUCCUGGUGUAGCGGUGAAAUGCGCAGAUAUCAGGAGGAACACCAAUUGCGAAGGCAGCUCGCUGGGACGUAACUGACGCUGAGACGCGAAAGCGUGGGGAGCAAACAGG
rnacentral:rRNA from 1 species